AUCUCAGAUCUUUACUUCCAGAUACCAGAGCCCUGAGCUGGUAAGAUGAUCCAUUCCUGCCUCGUCCCUGACAUGGACAUGAGAUUCCUUCACUGGUUUUCCAUUUUUCUACUAGGAGCGGGGUUUACAGAUGCUGGCGUCAUCCAGGUCCCGAAACAGCUUAUCACAGAAACAAGAAGGACAGUGACACUGACGUGUCACCCCAUUUCUACACAUGUUAGCCUUUACUGGUACCGACAGAACAAAGGGGAGAGAAUAGAGUCGCUGGUAUACUUCCAGAACAAUCGGCCUUUGGAUGACACUGGAUUGCCAAAAGAUCGGUUCUCCGCUGAAUGGCCUGAAAAAUCACCGUCAACCCUGAAGAUCCAGACCACAGAGCUCAGGGACUCUGCUUUCUAUCUCUGUGCUAGCAGCCCAGACGUUUCCUAUGAGCAAUAUUUCGGCCCAGGUACUCGGCUAUUGGUCACAGAUGACCUGAACAAGGUGACUCCUCCAAAGGUGACUGUGUUUCAGCCAUCUGAGGAAGAGAUCGAGGAGAAGGGAAAGGCCACACUGGUCUGUCUGGCCACAGGCUUCUACCCUGACUUUGUGGAGCUGAGCUGGUGGGUGAAUGGGCAGGAGACCAAAGUUGGGGUCAGCACAGACCUUCAGCCCUCCAAGGAGCAGCCUAAUAGCAACUUCUCCAAGUACUCGCUGAGCAGCCGCCUCCGGGUUUCUGCUCCCUUCUGGCGCAAUCCCAAGAACAGUUUCCGUUGCCAAGCAUUGUUCCAUGGGAUCUCAGAGGAUGAGCCCUGGACCAGUAACAUGAGCAAACCCAUCACUCAGAAUGUCAGUGACCAGAUCUGGGGAAAGGCAGAUUGUGGAGUCACCUCUGAGUCCUAUCAGCAUAGUAUCCAGUCUGCCACCUUCUUGUAUGAGAUCCUGCUGGGGAAGGCCAUGCUGUACGGCUUGCUGGUCAGUGCCCUGGUGUGGAGAACCAUGGCCAAGAAAAAAUAUUCUUGAAGCCAGCUGUGGACCUGGGAGCAGGGAACUAGGAACACGUAGCCUUCAUGCUUUCAUCAGCUCAGCUUGGCUUCUCCUUUAUCCAUUUCCAGCCUGCAUUCUG